GGGGAUUUAGCUCAGUGGCAUAAGCACCUGCCUUGCAAGCAGGUGGUAAUGAGUUCAACCCCCG
rnacentral:tRNA from 1 species